GGGCGCGUGGCUCAGCGGUAGAGCAUCCGAUUCACACGCGGGGGGUCGAUGGUUCGAUUCCAUCCGCGCCCACCA
rnacentral:tRNA from 1 species